rnacentral:rRNA from 1 species
GACGAACGCUGGCGGCGUGCUUAACACAUGCCAGUCGAACGGUGAAGGGACCGGUUUUUGCUGGUUCUGGAUGAGUGGCGAACGGGUGAGUAACACGUGAGUAACCUGCCCCCUUCUUCUGGAUAACCGCAUGAAAGUGUGGCUAAUACGGGAUAUUCUGCGCCUGCUGCAUGGUGGGUGUGGGAAAGAUAUUGUUUCGGUGGGGGAUGGGCUCGCGGCCUAUCAGCUUGUUGGUGGGGUGAUGGCCUACCAAGGCGGUGACGGGUAGCCGGCCUGAGAGGGUGGACGGUCACAAUGGGAAUGAGACACGGCCCAGACUCCUACGGGAGGCAGCAGGGGGGAAUAUUGCACAAUGGGCGGAAGCCUGAUGCAGCGACGCCGCGUGAGGGAUGGAGGCCUUCGGGUUGUAAACCUCUUUCGCCAGUGAAGCAGGCCUGUCCCUUUUGUGGGUGGGUUGACGGUAGCUGGAUAAGAAGCGCCGGCUAACUACGUG